rfam:Danio rerio chromosome 7, GRCz11 reference primary assembly.
UCAAAGGCUCUUUUAAGAGCCACACAUUUGUUUCAGUUAAAGAGCU